UACGUAGGCAGCAAGCGUUGUUCGGAGUUACUGGGCGUAAAGAGUGCGUAGGCGGUCCGCUAAGUUCGGUGUGAAAUCUCCCGGCUCAACUGGGAGGGUGCGCCGAAGACUGGCGGGCUUGAGUGCGGGAGAGGAAAGCGGAAUUCCUGGUGUAGCGGUGAAAUGCGUAGAUAUCAGGAGGAACACCUGCGGUGUAGACGGCUUUCUGGACCGUAACUGACGCUGAGGCACGAAAGCGUGGGUAGCAAACAGG
rnacentral:rRNA from 1 species